rnacentral:lncRNA from 1 species
GGCGGCUGCUCCUCUGGGCGUAGAGCGGGGGGACGGAGCCGUUUCCUGAGGAGAGGCGCCGGACGGCGGUGACCCCAGCAGCAGCAGCCCAGCACUCAGCCACCGAGCCGUACGCCGGCCACUUCAGACGCCGGCACCGCCCAGCGCCACCUUCUCAGAGAGAGGGAGUGAGGGGGCGGGGAGCGUCACGAAAGGGAGCUCACAGCCAACCGGCGCCGGGCGAGUGAUGAAACUCCGCUCCCCUCCGCCGGUGACGACCAAUAGCGUCUCCGGGAGGAGCGGGGGCGGAGCUCUUCCCGCGAUGUGUCGCGGCGGAGGAACCGCCCUUCCCGGCGGCCUCACCUUGUCGCAGUGCAGCGGCAGCGCCCUCUCCAGCCCCGCGCGCAGCGUCCGGUCGCCUGGCUACGCGUCCCCCAGGCCUGGGGCGACACCGCCUCUCGUCAUCAACGCUGUCUCGCUUCCGCCCGUGCCGCAGCGCCGCGACGGGCUCAGCCGGGGCAGAACGGGGCGACGAAGCGGAAGGCGAGAGCUUCCCAGGGAUGAAGCUCUCUAGUGAGGACGCAGCGCACAAAACAGAGCAGAACCAGUGUCGGGAGAUAAUGAGCCAAUGGUACAGCAAGAAGGAAGCUAGGCAGCUCCUUUCAAGUCACCCUUGGAGAAACUGCUGCUGGGCCUAACUGAAAAUUCUAACUGACUAUACAGCACACACAACGGUUUAGGGCUCCCUGGUUUCCCUAACAGAAAUGGGAUUGAAUCUAAAACUGUUAACAGUUUUUGUUUGUUUGUUUGUUUUUUAAGAUUUACUUAAUGAACUUCUAGCCCUUUGCAUGCCUGUAAGUUUCAGCCAGUUUACCUAUGCCCUUUGUAAUAGGUCUCUGCAAGUACUAGGUUGGCACCUGAAUUCUAUCAUGUAGCUGUCCAUCUUCUCCUGUUUUCCAUAUUGAAGCAAUCUGCUAUACUAUCUACGUAUACAAUAGGGCACAACUU